rnacentral:rRNA from 1 species
CCCAGUGGGCCCAAACUAAGCCGCACCGGUGUGUUCACCCUGGUUGUUAGACGGCAUGUUUACCCGCUACCCCUGGGUUUGCGGAACCGAAAGUUUUUCCCCUCUUUCAUUGUCUUCUCCGGCUUCAUUAUUCCUUUCUAUAUUUCCGCCGCUCCGCUAGCGGCGGGGGUACAAGCAGGGAGGUAAAAGAGGUAUCUUUAUCUUUAUCGCUGGGCGUCCAGUCCCAAAAAGUUUAGAAGUUGGGUUUGUCGUGGGGGAAGGAACGGAAGGAGGGACUUAGACGCUAGGGUCACACUUAUUUGUUCCCGUUCCCGCCGUUGAACGGUAAAGGAGGGAACAAAAAAGAAAUGAUCAUAAUCAUCAUGGACGUGGAGCUUGGGUAGCGCCGCCUCCGUCCCCGUUCACCACCACGAGUGCUUGUGGGCGGGGUAGGGGUUGGGAGGCGAGGCCGGCUCACUCACGUCGGCACGCCGGUACCUCGUCAUGGACGACCUGUUGAAGCUGGACGGCCGGUUCUUGGGGAGGCUCCUCCGCGUCGCCGCCACCGCGAGGCGGCAGCCCUCGGAGCAGCAGUUCUUGGCCGCGGCGGCGAAGGCGGUGCACGGGCUGGAGCUGGUCGCGGUGGUCCUGGUGCGGUUCGCGGCGAGGCAGGUCCUUUUUUAAGCCCAACGGGAGAUACACGUCGUCCGACGUUAGUGAAAGUAACCACCGCGGUUCUUCUUACUCAUGGUCGAUUGUCUACUAUAUUAGUUUCGACCCAAAAGGUAGUUAGGGCUUCUUGACCGUAGUUAUUGUUCGUUCGUACUGAACUUUCGAAAUUUCUACGUACCACCCCAUCUACCCUAUAGGUUUUUUCAAGCGUGUUGUAAGCUGGCACCACAUACACGAUGACUGAACCUAUGUUCUGUUUCGUAUAUACCACAGUUAGCGAUGCGACUUUUCGGAAGUUCUUCAAAGACCUACAAACAAACCCUACGUAACGUUCUGUGCUGAGAAUAGUAAGACUACCAUACACGAAACAAUAGACAACAUCAACCGGACCGUAGACUUCCAACCGGGUUCCCGUACAUACUACCGAACCCCUAUUAUGAGUCGUAAGAGAAUCAACACUACCAAUGACGACGGUCACUGAUAUUCGUUAGCGAGGUCAAAUUCCUCGAUCUAUUACUUUUCUUUUUGUAUAAAUAGGUACAUUGGUCUCUACCGCCAGCUGUCUUCUAGAGCUAUAAACUGAACCAUCAACCACUAUAACACGUAAAUAGUUAACCCCUGGUUCACGGACGACUGCCUGACAAAUAUGUACCUAUGAGGGAAGACUAACUACUUAGGUCGAAUAGUCCACUCUCACUCGGUCACAUAUGAAGAGUUCUAUUUGGUAAGUAUAACCGUCCUUGAUUUCACGUUCUGCCAAGACGAUUCUACUAUCAUUGUCGACAGCCAUACGCGUGACUUACCCCUUCCGACUACUCGUGAAACUCACUCCCUCCUCUCCUGCUCUGUGGUAACGUCCAAUUCGAUUUACCUCAACGCUGGUAGUAUCCUUUCUAACCGGACCAUAAACGGUGUAAUUGUAAACAUCAGGACUACUGAUCUAAGGAAUAACUGUUUCCAAACUGUCAACCAAACAGGUUGACCAUAAGUUGACUACGGAACUGAUAUCACUUGAUGAAACGUUGUCGCCAGUGAUAAUAACAACAACGACAAGGGCUUCCCAACGGCAACCGACAAUGAAACUCGGAACGUAAACGUUACUUCUUCGAUUACUUACUGUUUCGCGAACAAUCUGUGGAACGUCGUACACUUUGUUACCCUAGACGACCAUGGUAAACGUGUCUGUUCUGUCCUUGAAACUGAUGAUUGGUAUACCACCAACUGUUUUAGACCUAUCGGCUCCAAAGUUUCAGCCAAUGUUCAUUGUCAUCAAACCUUCUUGACUUAAGACGCUAAAGAAGUUCGCGUACCUCGGAUGAAAACGUCCCGUAAAAACUCUUGUGAUCACGUCUCCAACAGUUUCCUUCACUACCAUUUGUUUGACAAAACCCAUGAGGAUGCCUUUAUCGCUAUAAACUUAUACCGAACUCGAACGUUCCUAUAGCACUACGACUCCUAUCCUCGACGUGGUUCCAAUUCCAACUCGGAAAGUUAAGCCAGUUCUUCUUCUACCGUCAUAACCAAAGAAAUGGACCACCCCCUGUGGCAACCAAGACGUUUCCACGUAGUCUUUAAUAACAACUCUACACACUGUUUCACUAACUAGUUCUACCUCUACAAUAAGGGAAUAGUCUGCUAGCCUCUUUCUUGUAGUGCCUAUGAUAGUUGAGUAAACGAAGUCUACGAAAUUCCUGUAACACGAAUCGUAAAUUCCUACACCUACUUAAACUACUCUUACGUCUAUCGGGAGGAUUACCAAAAUGGGACUAUUAGUAUAAACCGUAGUUCCUGGGACACGCUGGACCUCACUUCCUUCGCCAAGUCUCGACGUAUUGACGACCGUAGUAACACUCUUACCACUGACCACUAUUAUAGUUAUGUCGAUUUCGAUAUCGGUUUCUCACACCGUAUAACUGACUACUACCGUAUCGUUAUCUUCCUGGUCUAAAAGCAUUGUUUUCGGGUCUUCUUUACUCCCUGGACUAUGGAUUCUAAGUCCAGUACCGGGCAAGCAAUGGUAACCUGUUUGUAAACGAACACUGUUUGAACUCUCCGUACAAGGUUCUCCACCAACGACACUGUCCACUACCAUGUUUACUGCGAGGACGCAAUGUGCUUCGUCUAUAACCCGAACGAUACCCGUAACGUCCCUGUCUCCAACGCUUCCUCUUACGACUACAGUAUCAUGAACUGCUGUUGAAGUGUUGAUAUUAUUUGCAACGUUCCACCCCAGCACGCCAAAUGUAUUUGUAGGUCUUCAAGCACGUCAAAGUCAACUGGCACUUGUAACAACGAAACCACUAGUUGAAACAGAGUCGCACGUAGUGUCCCUCACGAGGAGAGUGACGACACGUCGACGACACCCACUUGUACUAAUACCUGUGUAAUCCUCGAAAUCGAGAUCGUUGACUCGGAGGUUUACUACUUUACUACUUCUCCGGCGGAUGACCCGCUCCCCUUUCGAAGUAGUGGUUCCAGUACACCUCUUUGUAGUAACCCGUUUCAUAUAUGGUCGACCAACACGAACCGCAAGAGUACAAGCGGCCGCUUUUAGAAGACUUGUAGCUCCCAGGUCUAAGCUUCUGGCAAGAGUUGUGCGAGUAUAAGUUGAGGAAGCACAAAACGGUCCAUAAGUUGCUUCACUUGUCGUCCCUUUACCUCUUCUAGUUGUAAAAGGCGCCAGAGUAGCCGUUAACCCAGAAGGAGCCCCAUUAUUCGCGCUGUCACCAUAAGGUUCACCACUAGUAGCUCAAAGAGCCGUGAAAACGUUCAUGACAAGGUGAGUCGACCGUUAAGACCAACCACUCGCACCCAGAACCUAGGUAGUCGAACUAAUAACCUCGAUAGAACUUCACGUAAGGUCAAUUUAGUCCACUUUAGAGACCUUCAGGUUUACCAAUGUUCGGCGAGCGGUUGCCGGGACUACUGUAUAUCGACCUCUUCCCACUAAAGUCCUACCUAGGUCCGACGUAAACGAUAAAACCGAGACAACGUAGCGGUCGGCGAUUAAAAGAACUUAAGUAAACAUCACGCUCACACGCGACGUCCUAACGAAAAACCACGACGUAAACAAACCCUUCAGUUGAGGCCGAACUCUUAGGAUAACGACCUAAACCUAAAUAAACGUAAACUUACGUCACAUUCUGAAAAAAAACAGAUGCUAAAAUCGUCAUUAUACGAUCGUUUUUAUUAUUUUGUUAAGGGUCAGUCCAAUUAAAUCCAAACUAACUACAUUUGUUUAAAACUUGAUUCGGAGUAGUUUCCCUUUAUUUUAUACUAGUUUUGGGUUAGAGUG